AAAUAUGUGGAAUAAUUUGCUAUGUUAUAGUGAGAUUCUCUUCUUUGUGGAUUACAUGAAUGCCUGAGAAGGUCAGUAGCAUUAAUAUUUCUACUGGAGAACUUUCAUUUUAAAAUAUAUUAUAAAAAUGACUUUCAAUAAUAGCAUAACAUAUAAAACAUUUUCUUUAUUGGAGAAAUUAUAAAACAUUUUUGCACCACUUACUGUUGUAAUUUAGGCUGAAAUAAUGCCAGUUAUUUUGCUACUCUGCUGAAGUCCCCUUUUUUGAGCCUACACUGAACCUGUAAUACUUAUGGAAAGAGUUACCAUAGCAACCUAUAUUGAUGUCACAAGCUCAGGCUUCUGACUUCAUUGCAUAAUGCAGUAGCAACUGGAUUUGCAGCAGAAACACUCUGCUACAGAACAAGUGUCUUGGUUCACAGCAAAGAGGACAAAGAAAACAGCAAGUUUUAGGGGGUUGAAUCCUGGAUUGUGGUGAUCAGAUGGGCGUAAAAGAUGAAAAAAAGAGAGAAUGCAUGGCAACAAAUGGUGCUGCUCUCUGUGCAAAAACUAAGGCCCUAUGACCAUGAAUGGAGCCAGAGGGAAGGUUGGAGCAGAUCGUUUGCUCCAGGGGAAGCCGGCUGCCAUGGCUUGCACACAGUCAACCCCCUGGAGAGGUUCCUGUGGUAAGGAACCAGGGCUCCUGGCAAUAGCUUCUGAGUGAGCCACCUUGAGAAUGGAUUUUCCAGCCCAGUCAAGCUUUUAGAUGACUGUGACCUCUCCCAGUAUCUUUACUCAACUUCAGGAGAUCCCAAGCUACAACCCCUCAGUUAAGCUAUUCCAAAAUUCCUGACUCACAGAAACUGAGAUACAGGAAAGGUCACAGUUAAGCUCUUGAUGUUCUAUCUUAUUCCAUCAAAUAGGAACUUCAUCUUUUGAGAAGCACCAGGGAGAGCAGCCUAUGCCUGGCAGAAGCUGCCCAUGCCCCACUGAUACACAGUACUUCCCGUUCUGCUCAGUACUCCUGCUUCUUUCUGCAAACAACUGUGAUUCUCCACCUGGGAGCUUCCUCUGGCCACAGGAGCCUGCUUAUCUGAAUUGGACACCCCAGAAGUACUGGUGAGUUAUAGCUUCCAGGAGCAGCUCUCUUCCAGUGAAGGAAAGGGCUGGCAGAAAAUUACUUCAGCUGCCUCUGCUAGUAUGUGGAGCAGUGUUAAGACACGCUCCACGCAGUAACUCAGGGCUCCCAGCAAGAUAAAGCCCCACUUGUGCACAGUAGUAAGUUGCCCAUGGAUGCCGGCAUCGCCUUCCUUCCCUGCUGUGCCUCACUUCCCACUCCUCUGCCAGUGCUUCCUGGAAUCAUCUCCCUCAUCAAUCAUCUGUUCCUAAAUUCUGUCUGAGUCUGUUUCUGAGGAAACCCAACCUGAGUCAUUAUCCCUCUUCCCCUCUCACACUCGCUUCACUGGGGGAGGAUGGAUUAAGUUGAUUGGUGACUUUGGGCGAAGGAGUUUGCAUUGGGAGUAUGUGACUCAGGUGAGGUUGGGCUCUCUUUCUUCAGAGCGAAGUGCAUUCAGAUUCGAUAUGUAUCCUGUCUUCAGGAAGCCCUAUGCUCUGCUCAUCCAACAGCAUGAUUACGAAGGUACGCUCUGCCUUUGCAAGGGGAAGGCCUGAGAUUUGCAGUUGGCAAGCUCAGUGGGAGCUGGAUGUUUUAUGUAACUUGACUGUGGAUAUAGAUCAAUCCAUGCUUUUCAAUUCAGUCCUCCUCUCUCUAAUAAACUGCUGUCAUGAGCCC